rnacentral:rRNA from 1 species
GGACCCGCACAAGCAGUGGAGCAUGUGGUUUAAUUCGACGCAACGCGAAGAACCUUACCAGCGUUUGACAUGGAAAGUACCGGUUACAGAAUCGUAACCUUCAGUUCGGCUGGCUUUCACACAGGUGCUGCAUGGCUGUCGUCAGCUCGUGUCGUGAGAUGUUGGUUAAGUCCCGCAACGAGCGCAACCCUUAUCGUUAGUUACUAACAGUUCGGCUGAGGACUCUAGCGAAACUGCCGGUGAUAAGCCGGAGGAAGGUGGGGAUGACGUCAAGUCCUCAUGGCCUACACGCUGGGCUACACACGUGCUACAAUGGUAACUACAACGGGACGCAAUACCGCGAGGUGGAGCA